rnacentral:rRNA from 1 species
UUGAACGCUGGCGGCAUGCUUUACACAUGCAAGUCGAGCGGCAGCGCGGGGGCAACCCUGGCGGCGAGCGGCGAACGGGUGAGUCACACAUCGGAACGUACCAGUUGUGGGGGAUAGCCCGGCGAAAGCCGGAUUAAUACCGCAUACGACCUGAGGGUGAAAGGGGGGGAUCGCAAGACCUCUCGCUGUUGGAGCGGCCGAUGGCGGAUUAGCUAGUUGGGGGGGUAAAGGCCUACCAAGGCGACGAUCCGUAGCUGGUCUGAGAGGACGACCAGCCACACUGGAACUGAGACACGGUCCAGACUCCUACGGGAGGCAGCAGUGGGGAAUUUUGGACAAUGGGGGCAACCCUGAUCCAGCCAUGCCGCGUGAGUGAAGAAGGCCUUCGGGUUGUAAAGCUCUUUCGGCAGGAACGAAACGGUGGAGGCUAAUACCUGUCAUCAAUGACGGUACCUGAAGAAGAAGCACCGGCUAACUACGU